rnacentral:tRNA from 1 species
UAGCUCAGUCAGUUGAGCGUAACGCUAACAACGUCAAGGUGGCGGGUUCAAUUCCCGC